rnacentral:lncRNA from 1 species
UGUUAAACUCUUUUAUUAAGUUUUUCUUCAAUUUUAGCAUGAACUAAUUUCUAUCUUCUAGAGUUUGUGAUGCAGCCUAAUUAUGAUUAUGUGAAUCCUUCUUUACUUGAAUUAAUUGGUAUUUGUUCAAUUGUUGAGUAUCUCAUUCUGGACUUAAUGCUUGUGAAUGACUUAUCACCAUUUACAUGAGUUGGGAUUCAAUUUGAGACAGAGAAGUAAUAAUUGUUUCAGCCUGUGUUUGAGAUACCACAGGGAUUCUGUAGGAUAGAGAUAUCUAUGGACUUCUAUAAUCUUUAUGGGUUUGUCUUUGUU